rnacentral:rRNA from 1 species
GAACGCUGGCGGCGUGCUUAACACAUGCAAGUCGAACGAUGAAGCCCUUCGGGGUGGAUUAGUGGCGAACGGGUGAGUAACACGUGGGCAAUCUGCCCUGCACUCUGGGACAAGCCCUGGAAACGGGGUCUAAUACCGGAUAUGACCAUCUUGGGCAUCCUUGAUGGUGUAAAGCUCCGGCGGUGCAGGAUGAGCCCGCGGCCUAUCAGCUUGUUGGUGAGGUAAUGGCUCACCAAGGCGACGACGGGUAGCCGGCCUGAGAGGGCGACCGGCCACACUGGGACUGAGACACGGCCCAGACUCCUACGGGAGGCAGCAGUGGGGAAUAUUGCACAAUGGGCGAAAGCCUGAUGCAGCGACGCCGCGUGAGGGAUGACGGCCUUCGGGUUGUAAACCUCUUUCAGCAGGGAAGAAGCGAAAGUGACGGUACCUGCAGAAGAAGCGCCGGCUAACUACGUGCCAGCAGCCGCGGUAAUACGUAGGGCGCAAGCGUUGUCCGGAAUUAUUGGGCGUAAAGAGCUCGUAGGCGG